UCCAGAUGCUGCAUUUCGGACUCUGAGGACUCCUCGGACUCGCCCUCGCCCUCGCCCUGCUCCUCGUCUCCGUCUGCGUCCGACUCCUGAGAGCGGCGAAUGAGCUGCUGCAGCAGAACUGCCUCCUGUUGACAGCCAUGUGAAUGAAGCCUGCCUAGAUCUUCUAGUAUCAGCUAAUUUGCCAACUGACCCGAGCUUCGUGAGGCAACACAAGAGAAAUCAACUGAGAUGACUCAGACCAAAAGAACUUCCCAGGCACCUCAAAGAGACACGAGCUGGAUAAACGAAUGUUUUAAGCCAUUAAGAUCUGGGAGGAUCUGAAAGGCAGCAGAAGCUCCACAUGUAGUAUCUGGAUUUCUUGCAGUCUUGCUACACUGGCAGAGUGGACAGUGAGAGAGAGAGAGAAAAGUCCUCAUCCUCCAAUGGCCGCCGUGGCUGGUGCACCACGCUGAUCCGAAGCCAGGAGCCAAGUGCCUCUCCCGGUCUCCCAUGCGGGUGCAAGGCUCAAGGACUUGGGCCAUCCUCCACUGCCUUCCUGGGCCACAGCAGAGAUCUGGACUGGAAGAGGAGCGACCAGGACAGAAUCCGGCACCCCGAUUGGGACCAGAACCCGGGGUGCUGGAGCCACAGGCGGAGGAUUAGCCUAUUGAGCCGCGGCGCCAGCCGGGACUUUGAUCUUUUAGGAUUUCAACAUUUAAAAUUAUGAUGUUUGGGAUUGUGAAGCAAAGCCUAGGAUAUUUUUGAUUUUAUCCCCUUCCUAGAUCUAUGGUUUGCAAGUAUUUUCCCCCAUUCCAUGGAAUUUUACUCUGUUUAUUGUGAUCUUUGAUUGAUGCAUACAAGAUUUUUUAUUCUGAUGUCAUCUAAUUUAUCUAUUUUUACAUUUGUUGCCUGUGCCUUUGCUAUCACAGUCAGGAAAUCAUUGCCAAAUCUAGUGUCAUGGAGCUUUUCCUUUUUUUUUUUUUUCAGCCUCAAUGAAAUAUAUUUGAAAAAGAAAUUAUAUAUAGUUGACUGUAACAUGAUGUUUUCAUGCAAGUAUACAUUGUGAAAUGGUCAUCACAGUCAAGCCAAUCUACUUACUUAUCACCUCAAAUAGUCCCCCCCUUCUUUCAGUGUAUAGUGUGAGCAGUUAAGAUCUAUCCUCUUAGCAAAUGUCAACAUGCAAUAUUGUUAGCUAUAGCCAUCAUGCUAUAAGUUAGGCCUCCAAAACUUACUCAUGUAGCCUUUGACCGAUGUCUCCCCAUUUCCCCUCUUCCAAGUCCCUGGCAGCCACCAUUCUGCUCUCUCCUGCUAUGAGUUUGGCUUGUUUUUGGAUUCUACAUAUAAAUGAGAUUACGUGCUAUUUAUCUUUUGAUGCCUGGUUCAUUUGACUUGACAUAGUGUCUUCCAGUUUCAUCUAUCUUGUUGUAAAUGGAAGUGCUUCCUUCUUUUUCAAGGCUGACAGAGAGAUACAAAUACAGAGAUGUAUGUAUAUAUCACGUUUUCUUUAUCCAUUCAACUGUCAGUGGGCAUUUUGGUUGCAUCCAAAUUUUGGCUAUUAUAAAUGAUGCUGCAGUGAACAUGGGAAUACAAGUAUCUCUACGAAAAUCUUGAUUUCAUUUCCUUUGGAUAUAAAGCCAGAGGUGGGAUUACUGGGUCAUAUGGUAGUUUUCAUCUUUUUUGAGGAAGCUGUAUACUAUUUCCAUAAUGGUUAUACCAGUGUACAUUUUAGUAAGCGUGUACAGGGUUCCCUUUCCUCCACAUCCCCACUAACACUUUUUUUCUGCAGAUGAUCCAUGAUGUUGAAUUCACCUGUUGCCAUUUGUAUGUCUUCUUUGGAAAAUGUUUGGGUUUUGCUCAGUUUGAAUUGGUUGUUUCUUU